CCCUUAGAGUUUGAUCCUGGCUCAAGAGGAACGCUGGCGGCGUGCUUAACACAUGCAAGUCGAACGAAGUUUUUCAUUCGUGGAAAACUUAGUGGCGGACGGGUGAGUAACGCGUGGGUAACCUGCCCUGUACAGGGGGACAACAGCUGGAAACGGCUGCUAAUACCGCAUAAGCCCUUAGCACUGCAUGGUGCAUAGGGAAAAGGAGUAAUCCGGUACAGGAUGGACCCGCGUCUGAUUAGCCAGUUGGCAGGGUAACGGCCUACCAAAGCGACGAUCAGUACCCGAUCUGAGAGGAUGUACGGCCACAUUGGGACUGAGACACGGCCCACACUCCUACGGGAGGCAGCAGUGGGGAAUAUUGCACAAUGGAGGAAACUCUGAUGCAGCGACGCCGCGUGAGUGAAGUAGUAUUUCGGUAUGUAAAGCUCUAUCAGCAGGGAAGAAAAUGACGGUACCUGACUAAGAAGCACCGGCUAAAUACAUGCCAGCAGCCGCGGUAAUACGUAUGGUGCAAGCGUUAUCCGGAUUUACUGGGUGUAAAGGGAGCGUAGGUGGCAAGGCAAGCCAGAAGUGAAAACCCGGGGCUCAACCGCGGGAUUGCUUUUGGAACUGUCAUGCUAGAGUGCAGGAGGGGUGAGCGGAAUUCCUAGUGUAGCGGUGAAAUGCGUNG
rnacentral:rRNA from 1 species